UCCUUUACCAUGACCACUGGUUGCAGCAGACUCUCCCCAGUGCACUGCAGCCCCGGAGGACAGAAUUUUUCCCAGUAUCUUCACACCUCCUGCCUUCAACAAUUUCCAAACCAAUCAUUAUGUCAUACAUUAAAUAGCAUUUCAUCUCAAGUUCUGACAGAUUUCUACAGCAAGGUUUAGAUCUUAUUCAUUUAAUAGCCACCAGGGAAGACUGACUACAGUUUUUAAAAUCUCAGAGUGGCCAAAAUGAAGCUAUUUUUCCCCACUUUAGCCUUAAAAUGAAAACAGAAUUAUUUUCUUAAUAGCUUGCCCCAGCUUAUUUUCUUUCACAAGCAGCAGCACUUUCAGCAGAGAGCCCACAAUGAAAUAGUUUACUUUGGAAGAACAGACGGAAGUGGGGAGAGGAUCAAAACUGAGUUGUAUGCUUUGGCUUUUUGUGUGCAUUCAUCUGUGGUUUUUUACUAUUAUCACUGACUAUGCAAUGCUAGGAUUAGCAGUAUUGUUUCAGAGAGGAAAAUACAGUUAUAAAGAUAACAGCACUUAGCAAACAUCAGUUAUAAACUACACUGUUCUACAGUGUGUUUUCUUAUUUGAGCUACAGGGUCAGAUUGACAGUUACAUUUGAGGAUUUCGGAGAGCAAUCUACAAGGAAAUCAGGGAGAAAAUAAUUUACACAUGCUUGCCCAUGCCUCUGGUUUGAAAAGUGCCUCAGUUAGUCCUCUAACUUCUAUAGAGCUGUCUGAAGACUUCUCUUCCAUCAGCUGCCAACAGCCCCAGGGAGCCACAGCACAGAAAGGGACAUGAAAGUCAAGGCAGGAUCUCAGCCAUGGAAGCAGGAACCUGCUCCAUUCAUCUCUUAGGAAGAACGGCUUGAAGAGAGGCAGAUGGGAGCACCUAAAAAGUGAAAUACUGAAACUGUCUCUACAUGACAUAAGUGUCCUCCUGAGUACUGAUCAAUCACAGAAUAUAAUCUCCUACUCCUGCACAACUGGUUGGGCUCUCCUGCCGGCUUUGUGAAGCAGCAGCUCUAGCAGACAAAGAAAAUCGUCCCUGCUAACAAUAUAGGACCAAAGCAAAUCAUGGUUUUCACUUGCUCAUGAAACACCUGAGAUCCACUCAGCAAAGCAGAGAGGGGAAAUCUCAGGGAGUUGGCUGUUGGGGCUGUCACCAAGUGAAAAAUACAGACUCUUCUAAUUCAUGGGAUCUGGCUAGGUACCCAGAAGUUUCAUUUACUAAUAUUGGUGUUCCCAUACCUGCUCCUUUUACCCUUGCACCUCAUCUGCAGGCCACUGGAUUUAGCUGCUUCCCUUUUUCUUUUAUCACAGUUAUGUUCAAUGUGUCUGCUUUAAAGACCAGAGAUUUAAAACAAUUUAUGCUAUGUCCUGCUUAUUAGUGUCUUUUAAGUUAUACAGCAUGCAGUGAGCUUUAUUAUGAGACAAUGACAGGAUUUUUUUUCCAAAAAGCAAUAAAUGUUAAAAAUAAAAAUGUGAUGUUUAACUAGCAAAUUGAUUUUUUUUAAAAAAAAAUAUGAAUUAUUAACUGAAGAAGUCACUCAGCUUAUAAUAGUCUAAAGGAUAUUGGUUGUAUUAUUUUUUAAAAAUUCCAUAUACUAUUAGUCUUGCAUCAGCUAAUAAGGUAAAAUAAACAGCAAGCAUCUCGUAACCAUUAACAACUAUUCCUUAAAGAAAGAAUUGCUGCAAAAAUAAAGUGCACAGAAAAUGAAGAUUAACACUAAUGUAAGGGAAUAGGCACUUUGAGCAGACAAACAUGCUUGAAAGACCCUCUGACCUGUAUGAACAGCCAGGGCAUUCCCACCUUAGAGAAACUGGUCAGGCCAAUGUCAGGCCUCAAGAGGAAAAUGGACUAUAACAGAAGGUGCAAAGGGCACCUGAGCACCAGUUGAGGAUAUGAGAGAUUUCACUGCACGUAACAGCAAUGUUGAUGCUCAGUGGGUCACUUCUGUCAAAACUCAGAGUGCAAAAGAACUUCUGCUACUAACAGGAAAAAAAAAAAAAAAAAGAGAGAGAGAGAGAGAGAGAGAGAGAGAGAGAGAGAGAGAGAAGUUUGUUUGUUUUCAGGAAAAGAUGUCUGGGGAGUCUUUGUUCCCAGAGCUGAACAUCUUGGCUUCCUUCCCUGAGCUCCACAGGAAAAAGAUCACUUAUUAUGAAGACGCCUUUGCAGGGACAGUCACAAAUUCAUUACAAGAAGUUUGCAAGAAAUAUCUCUAUCAUAGCACUGUCUGUAAACCAAUGGUACAAGGCAACAGUCGUGUUGAAGAGAAAGAUGACAAACCAAGAAAACACUGAAGUAGCUUCGAAAAACAGAAACAAAAAUCCUGUCAUGCCUCUGUGCAACAGAAAUUCUUCCAAGUCUGAUAAGGCACUAAAAAUCUGACCAUUACUAUUCUCACAAAAGAGAAGUGUGACAAAACUCCUGACGCACUUUGCCCCUUGUCAGGGUGCACUGAGAGACAGACAAAAUUACUGUUCUGCUCAUGUCAAGGCA